AGAGCACAGGGAAUGCUCCUUCCCCUCGAGUUCAAGGACAAAUAGCCCUUGUUUGGAAGUGAUGGAGUGGGAAGGGAAUCUUCCUGGCACAGAGACAGUGCAGGGAUUUCAGACCUGUUUCGAUCCUGAGCAGUCCAUGCCUGGGUGUCACCACUCUAUUUUUACCCAGCACUGCUCCAGCCCUGCCUCCACAGCCAGCUCAAGGUGACAGCGUGACCUCCGCAGCAGCAGCACCUGAGAGCAGCCCUGGGAUCCCCAGGAUUGACUCCUGCAGGGAACACAGCUCUGGAAGCAUCAAAAACAUGAAAGAAAGACAAAUUCCAAGCUCAGCACCUGGCCAAAUGUCAACACAGAGCCCAGAUGGUUUCAGACAAGCCACAGGACACGUUCAAAUUACACAGAACAAGCUUUCAGAGAUUUUCCAGCCUCCUGCCUGUAAGGGAAGCUUUCUAAGUGAAAGGUGAGCAUUUCCUAAUCCUACACUGAAGCUCCUCAACAUAACAAAGCAAUGGUUUUUAAGGUUAUUUCCACAUUCUUCAUUAGAUCUCGUUCAUUUUCCCUCCAACACAAGAUGAAUGUUGUCUUGUGCAAAUGGGUGAGAGCAAAGUCCAUUCAGAGUUGGUAUAAAGCUGUGAAAAAUUUCAUAUGAGGAGAGGAUGAAAAUGUACAGUAGUCUUAGAAACCUGAUUUAUUACUAAUAGGAGGCAUAUUAAAAGGUAUAAAACAAAUCAUCAGUGAUAUUAAAUGUAUCUACAACUCUCCAUAUCUCUGAUCUCUGUGAAAUGGGCUCACUUACACGUAUAUAAAUCCUCUGGACUGAGGAGAAUAAAUUUUAUUCUAAACUCAGCAAAUUUGCAGGUAACAAUAUUCUUUCAAAAUACAUUCUACGAAUUUUAAAAUUAAAUCUGGAUUGCAGCAAAACUUUUAGUUUCCCUUCCAGAUUGUUUUAGAUCCACCUCUGCAGCAUAACCAAAAAGAAUUUACCAUACAGUGGAAUUCUUUGCAUACCAGGCAGCUUUUAAUCCAUAACAGAGCACUUGAAUUAAAUCUUGAGAGCUAUGUGGGUUUUAAGAAACACUUGAUAUUGUUAAAAAAAUAGAAUUAAUCAAAUAAUAGAAUCAUUAGGGUUGGCAAAGACCUUUGAGGUCACCAAGCAAACCCAGCCCCACUGUCUUCACUAUUAAACCGUGUCCUCAAUGCCAUUUCCACAAGUUCUUAACACUUCCAGGGAUGGGAACUUCAUCUUUUCCAUGGGAAAAAGGUGCUUAUUUUGAAAGCAUGGACACAAUGAAAUGGAAAUCAACUUUUCCUUAUCCUGGCUGCCUCCCCAUCCUCCUAUUUGGAAUGUCUUAACUUCCGACUUCUUCGCUCACGCUCUGAUUUUAAUUAGAAUUUGGUUUGAAUUAUUACUUUUGCUGAGUGUAUUUCUUAUUCUUAUGGGGAAAAAGCAGCAGCCUGGCCUUGUUAAACAUCCUGUGUUUGUGUUCAGCAAAUCCUUGUGCACCCAAGCA